rnacentral:rRNA from 1 species
UACGUAGGUGGCAAGCGUUUGUCCGGAAUUAUUGGGCGUAAAGCGCGCGCAGGCGGUCUCUUAAGUCUGAUGUGAAAUCUCGCGGCUCAACCGUGAGCGGUCAUUGGAAACUGGGAGACUUGAGUGCAGAAGAGAAGAGCGGAAUUCCACGUGUAGCGGUGAAAUGCGUAGAGAUGUGGAGGAACACCAGUGGCGAAGGCGGCUCUUUGGUCUGUAACUGACGCUGAGGCGCGAAAGCGUGGGGAGCGAACAGG